UUCGCGUUUAGCGGCUCGAGAGCACGCGUUGACGAAAGCUACAUAGUUAAACGUUGCAAUAUUUAAUUAUGUAAAACAUCCGAGGCGUUAUUAGUUGCGCUUGAUUAGCUACGGAACCUAGGAUGGAGAAAUUCUGUCCGUUGUGCGCGAAGAAUGGCAUUAAGAGAAGAGUGAAGGUAUUUCAGGUCAACCUAGAAGAAGCGAUGUUCUCCUGCGAGUCGGAGCAAUGCGUCUGGCCGAUCGGUUACGAGGAAUUAAAAUUAAAAUUUAUUA